UACGUAGGGCGCAAGCGUUGUCCGGAAUUAUUGGGCGUAAAGAGCUCGUAGGCGGCCUGUUACGUCUGCUGUGAAAUCCCGGGGCUUAACCCCGGGCGUGCAGUGGAUACGGGCAGGCCGGAGGCAGGCAGGGGAGAACGGAAUUCCCGGUGUAGCGGUGAAAUGCGCAGAUAUCGGGAGGAACACCGGUGGCGAAGGCGGUUCUCUGGGCCUGUACUGACGCUGAGGCGCGACAGCGUGGGGAGCAAACAGG
rnacentral:rRNA from 1 species